rnacentral:rRNA from 1 species
UGGGGAAUAUUGCACAAUGGGCGAAAGCCUGAUGCAGCGACGCCGCGUGAAGGAUGAAGUAAUUUCGGUAUGUAAACUUCUAUCAGCAGGGAAGAAAAUGACGGUACCUGACUAAGAAGCCCCGGCUAACUACGUGCC